UUUUAGACUAUCAUCUCUAUUAAUGUUAUUUCUAGAAAUGAAUCCACCGUAUCCUCAACCAUGCCGAGGAAAGAUCUUUUCCUUUUUUUAUACAUAUGGGAAAGCAAAAUUGCAUCGUUUGCUGAGUCUUUUCCCCAAAAUAUGUUAGAUAUUUUCUAGACUUUUCUUCGUUGUAAGAUCUUUCCGAUUUCAUGAUCGUUCGUUUUUCAAGUUUUUUUGGUUAUGGACAUGUUUUACAUUACCUUAAUCGGUUUUUCAACCGUAUUUCAAAGUGUUUCUCUUAAUGAUCUUUCCUUAUUAAGGUUAAUAUUUGUUUUUAAUCAUUGCCAGAGUGAUUAAGUUAACUUCUUUCAUGUUUUGUUAGAGUCAAUUUCAGUAUUAGGGUUUCUGACUCCAUUUUUGUAAGUUUAAACAUUUUGUUGUGUAGCUUAGUCUUUAGGAUUUUGUUGUAGCUUCUUUUUCUUACACGGUUCUAUUUAGGUUACACUUUCUCUCUCACCCACAAUCUCGCCUUUCGCUUCUAUGUUCACUAUGAAGUUUUUUUUUCUAACACUAUUCUGAAAAACUCUCUUUUACAUUAUGUAAACAAUGAAUAGAGAGAUGCAAAAAACAUGUGCUUAAUGAAAUUUGAACUUUGGAGCUUUAGAGCCAAGUUUUCAUUAUAUAUAGAUCUUUAGUGUGAGGACUUUUCAGUUUCAUACCAUUUCUCCAUCACAUAGGUGAAGUUUCAUGUAUGGAUUUAGUUUGUUUUAUGUCUUAUAUUGUUUUACAAGCCUGGAAGCAAGAAGCCAAUAAAUGAAAUUGAUUUCUGCACUUUUCUAAACAAUCCUAACCACACCUUCGUCGAUUUCUAUAACCACACCGACCGACAAAAACUCAUGUAUCUAGAGUACGAGUUGGAGAUGUGCACAAAUCCUCUAGAUUUGAGAUUGUCCUAUGAGAACCUCACACAAGUUUCAGUGGAAGAGGUUGUGAAGAAGUAAAUCGAUUUUCAAGUAUUCCAACUGGGGAAUCUGGCGACAAUGAUGACAAAAGCUGAUCGAGCAAUGAAAGAGGAAGAAGGAGCGACAGUUAGGGUUUUAAUUCGAGAAAAUAUUAGAGAAAAUAUGGAGAAUUUUUUAUUAAAUUUUUAAAAGUAAAGUGAAUCUAGAUUUAUUGUCAUGUCAUUAAUUUGUGCCUGUUUUUUUUUGUGCUUUCUUCUACAAUGUUAUUUAAUGUGAUUCCC
rnacentral:lncRNA from 1 species